rnacentral:rRNA from 1 species
AAAUUGAAGAGUUUGAUCAUGGCUCAGAUUGAACGCUGGCGGCAGGCCUAACACAUGCAAGUCGAACGGUAACAGGAAGCAGCUUGCUGCUUUGCUGACGAGUGGCGGACGGGUGAGUAAUGUCUGGGAAACUGCCUGAUGGAGGGGGAUAACUACUGGAAACGGUGGCUAAUACCGCAUAACGUCGCAAGACCAAAGAGGGGGACCUUCGGGCCUUUUGCCAUCAGAUGUGCCCAGAUGGGAUUAGCUUGUUGGUGAGGUAACGGCUCACCAAGGCGACGAUCCCUAGCUGGUCUGAGAGGAUGACCAGCCACACUGGAACUGAGACACGGUCCAGACUCCUACGGGAGGCAGCAGUGGGGAAUAUUGCACAAUGGGCGCAAGCCUGAUGCAGCCAUGCCGCGUGUAUGAAGAAGGCCUUCGGGUUGUAAAGUACUUUCAGCGGGGAGGAAGGUGUUG